GCCGGGCGCAGUGGCACGCGCCUGUAGUCCCAGCUACUUGGGAGGCUGAGGCUGCAGGAUCGCUUGAGCUCAGGAGUUGUGGGCUGCAGUGCGCUAUGCCGAUCAGGUGCCUGCACUAAGUUCGGCAUCAAUAUGGUGACCUCCCGGGAGCAGAGGGACCACCAGGUUGCCUAAGGAGGGGUGAACCGGCCCAGGUCGGAAACGGAGCAGGUCAAAACUCCCGUGCUGAUCAGUAGUGGGAUCGCGCCUGUGAAUAGCCACUGUACUCCAGCCUGGGCAACAUAGCAACACCACGUCUCU
rnacentral:SRP_RNA from 1 species